ACUCUACGGGAGGCAGCAGUGGGGAAUAUUGCACAAUGGGCGCAAGCCUGAUGCAGCAACGCCGCGUGAGGGACGACGGCCUUCGGGUUGUAAACCUCUUUUAGUAGGGAAGAAGCGAAAGUGACGGUACCUGCAGAAAAAGCACCGGCUAACUACGUGCCAGCAGCCGCGGUAAUACGUAGGGUGCAAGCGUUAUCCGGAAUUAUUGGGCGUAAAGAGCUCGUAGGCGGUUUGUCGCGUCUGCUGUGAAAUCUGGGGGCUCAACCCCCAGCCUGCAGUGGGUACGGGCAGACUAGAGUGCGGUAGGGGAGAUUGGAAUUCCUGGUGUAGCGGUGGAAUGCGCAGAUAUCAGGAGGAACACCAAUAGCGAAGGCAGAUCUCUGGGCCGUAACUGACGCUGAGGAGCGAAAGCAUGGGGAGCGAACAGGAUUAGAUACCCUGGUAGUCCAUGCCGUAAACGUUGGGAACUAGAUGUAGGGGCCAUUCCACGGUUUCUGUGUCGCAGCUAACGCAUUAAGUUCCCCGCCUGGGGAGUACGGCCGCAAGGCUAAAACUCAAAGGAAUUGACGGGGGCCCGCACAAGCGGCGGAGCAUGCGGAUUAAUUCGAUGCAACGCGAAGAACCUUACCAAGGCUUGACAUAUACCGGUAAAGGCUGGAAACAGUCUCCCCGCAAGGUCGGUAUACAGGUGGUGCAUGGUUGUCGUCAGCUCGUGUCGUGAGAUGUUGGGUUAAGUCCCGCAACGAGCGCAACCCUCGUUCUAUGUUGCCAGCACGUUAUGGUGGGAACUCAUAGGAGACUGCCGGGGUCAACUCGGA
rnacentral:rRNA from 1 species